GUGAACGCUGGCGGUAGGCCUAACACAUGCAAGUCGAACGGCAGCACAGUAAGAGCUUGCUCUUACGGGUGGCGAGUGGCGGACGGGUGAGGAAUACAUCGGAAUCUACUUUUUCGUGGGGGAUAACGUAGGGAAACUUACGCUAAUACCGCAUACGACCUACGGGUGAAAGCAGGGGAUCUUCGGACCUUGCGCGAUUGAAUGAGCCGAUGUCGGAUUAGCUAGUUGGCGGGGUAAAGGCCCACCAAGGCGACGAUCCGUAGCUGGUCUGAGAGGAUGAUCAGCCACACUGGAACUGAGACACGGUCCAGACUCCUACGGGGGCAGCAGUGGGGAAUAUUGGACAAUGGGCGCAAGCCUGAUCCAGCCAUACCGCGUGGGUGAAGAAGGCCUUCGGGUUGUAAAGCCCUUUUGUUGGGAAAGAAAAGCAGCAGGUUAAUACCCCGCUGUUCUGACGGUACCCAAAGAAUAAGCACCGGCUAACUUCGUG
rnacentral:rRNA from 1 species